rnacentral:rRNA from 1 species
UACGUAGGGCGCAAGCGUUGUCCGGAAUUAUUGGGCGUAAAGAGCUCGUAGGCGGUUUGUCGCGUCUGCUGUGAAAACCUCAGGCUCAACCUGGGGCUUGCAGUGGGUACGGGCAGACUAGAGUGCGGUAGGGGUGACUGGAAUUCCUGGUGUAGCGGUGGAAUGCGCAGAUAUCAGGAGGGAACACCGGUGGGCGAAGGCGGGUCUCCUGGGCAGUAACUGACGCUGGAGGAGCGAAAGCGUGGGGAGCGAACAGG